AAGCACCAACCAAAAGAAGAAAGGAGGAUAGAAAAAAUAAAAUGGAAGAUGUAGGGUGGGCAGAUUAGGGCUGCGUUUGUUGCUUGCUUUCAUGUUACCAUCAUAGCGUUUUUGCCACUUACAAAGGAGGAAAAAAAUCAAUUCUGUGCCAACCCAGACAACAGAGACCUGAGUGGGGGUUGGGAAGAGAGAUUUUUCAGCACAGAAUCAGACUCCUUCUCCAAAGAGCUGUGUGGCCUUCACCUGCAAGGCGACCUCUUCCACAAGCAGAGGCCAGGACAAAAAGAGGCACCUGUGAGCGACAAAGACGGUUUCCUUGGUUUCCCUCACGGCGCCAAGCGGAGUGGCCGCCUCCCACCACAGGGCCCCCUAAUGGGCGCUUUUGUCCUGCGGGGCAGAGGGACCUCAUUAGAAGGCGCUGGUGCUAAAGGGAAAUGCAUUUCCAGAACAGGAGGUUUCAUCAUUCCUAGCGUUAGCGACAGAAUGGUGACAGAAGCUCUGUGGACGUAUUUUCCAGCGUUCAGUUCACAUCAAGGAUGGGUAUGCACUGGCGGAAAAGGUCAGCUCGCAGAAUGAUCGCCCAUCCACACAGCGUUUGGAGGUCAGACGUUCCUGAUGACUGUGAAAAUGGGGAGGUGAGAAGAGGUCGUCAAAGGGAGCAGCCUUUUAAAGCCAGGUCAGCUGCUAACAAAUUUUGUGACUUUGGAAAAUGUACUGAACUUCUCUGAAUGUUUAUUUUUUUAUCCCAUCUGUUGAAACGGUGCUAAAAAUAUUAUCUACUCUU
rnacentral:lncRNA from 10 species